rnacentral:rRNA from 1 species
UACGUAGGGUGCAAGCGUUAAUCGGAAUACUGGGCGUAAAGCGUGCGCAGGCGGUUAUGUAAGACAGAUGUGAAAUGCCCGGGCUUAACCUGGGAACUGCAUUUGUGACUGCAUCGCUGGAGUGCGGCAGAGGGGGAUGGAAUUCCGCGUGUAGCAGUGAAAUGCGUAGAUAUGCGGAGGAACACCGAUGGCGAAGGCAAUCCCCUGGGCCUGCACUGACGCUCAUGCACGAAAGACGUGGGGAGCAAACAGG